rnacentral:rRNA from 1 species
GUCAAAACGACUCUCGGCAACGGAUAUCUCGGCUCUCACAUCGAUGAAGAACGUAGCGAAAUGCGAUACUUGGUGUGAAUUGCAGAAUCCCGUGAACCAUCGAGUCUUUGAACGCAAGUUGCGCCCGAAGCCUUUAGGCCGAGGGCACGUCUGCCUGGGCGUCA